UACGUAGGGCGCAAGCGUUAUCCGGAAUUAUUGGGCGUAAAGAGCUCGUAGGCGGUCUGUCGCGUCGGUCGUGAAAACUUGGGGCUUAACCCUGAGCUUGCGGUCGAUACGGGCAUGACUGGAGUUCGGCAGGGGAGACUGGAAUUCCUGGUGUAGCGGUGAAAUGCGCAGAUAUCAGGAGGAACACCGGUGGCGAAGGCGGGUCUCUGGGCCGAUACUGACGCUGAGGAGCGAAAGCGUGGGGAGCAAACAGG
rnacentral:rRNA from 1 species